UCGUUAAUGCCUCUAUAUAUGCAUAUACUCAUGCAUAUAUGUUUUAAAGACAUGUUUGUGCCUGCAUUUUGAAAUUAGGCAAUGAAAUGCUAAUUCAAAAGAGUAGGAUCUGUUUAGGAUUUGAUAACUUCGAUUCUAAGUUAACAUACUGAAUGUGGGGUGCUUUCUCAUUGCAAGAACUUAGCAGCUGAGUAAGAAGCUACAUCCUGAGAGCUUUGUACACAAAUGCCAUUGUGAAGUCACAGUCAAUGUGGAUAUAACAUGCUAACUGUCCCUACAACAGAGCCUUUCAAAAGGAUGUCAUUUGACAAUAGAAACCAAUAAAAGCCAUAGCCAUGUUUUCCCAAUUAUAGCUAGAGAUUAUCCCUGGAUACUGAAAAACAAGCGUACAGACAAACUGCGGGAUGCACUCAAGGAGAUAGAGGACCUAAUGCAAAACAGUCAAUGUGUGCUGAGCAAAUGGAAGAACAAACAUAUCUGUCAGCUCCUCUUUCACUCAGGUAUAUUGGUGUCCUUAAGCCUUUCUGGGCCACAGCUGGAGAAAGUGGUGAUUGACAGGACCCUGGUGGGGAAGCUCAUCUCCGACACCAUCAGUGAUGCGGUUCUUACAGAUGGUUUCAUCCUCUUGUCAUUCGAGGACCAUAACCAACUCUGUUUUAUUCAGUUUACAAAGAAAAUGGAUUCUCCUGAUGUAAACAAAAGACUGGAAAAACUCUCUUGUUUGGACUUCAAGAUUUCUUAUAUUGAUAUACUUGGACCAGAAGGUAGAAGGAUGAAACGUCACCUGGCAAUAAAUUGUAUGCAAGAUACCGUCAUUUGCUGGUGGUCAGCAACUAGUGAAGGAGCAUGGCCUUGGUCUCCUAUUUCCUGUGAGAGGGACAGAGCCAACCUAUUGCUAUUAGGCUGUGCACAUGGCAAAUUGGAGGUUCUGAGUUACGUGCGUACAGAAUGGGAUCCACUCGAUGCAAGCUUCAGCACUAAUCAGCCUUAUCAGGUUUACACAGUGGAGCACUCCCUCUCUGCAGACAAAGAGCCCAUGGCUGACAGUUGCAUCUACAAGCGUGUUAGGAACAAAAUGCAGUGUGUGGCAGUUACCAGAAUACCACUACGAUCCAAGGCCAUCAGCUGUUGCAGAGAUGUUACAGAAGACAAACUAGUCCUGGGUUGUGAAGAUUCAUCAGUAAUUCUGUAUGAAGCCUACAACCAAGUGACUCUGUUAGCCCAAGCAGAACUGCUGCCUGCUUUAAUAACCUACCACCCUUCCGGAGCCAUAUUCAUGGUUGGCAGCUCUCAAGGGGAGCUCCAACUUUUUGACACAGCACUGUCCCCAAUUAAAAUUCAGCUCUUGGCACAAGAUUAUUCACCUGAGGCAACUCUGCAAUUCAGUAAACACUUUGACGUACCUAGCAGCCUCAUCCAGAUCCAGUGGGCCGCUCCUCAAGUUGCCCCGGCCAGCACUGACAGCACAAAUAUUCAUGAUCUUUUGUUAGUUAGAUUUGACAAAGGACCCUUAGGAGUACUUCACUUUAAACUUGGUGUGUUCACAAGAGGGCAGCUGGGCCUUGUGGAAAUCAUCCACCAGUAUAUUCGUUACGAUGAGAUACAUGAGGCAAUUAAUGUCCUGAACACCAUGAACUGGAACACAAUGGGUCGUCAGUGCUACAUAUGCUUGAGUGCCAUUGUUAAUCACCUUCUCAAACAAAAGCUUACACCAGACAGAGAAGCACAGCUUGAGGCAAGCCUUGGAACCUUUUAUGCUUCAACAAGACCCCUCUUGGAUACAACCGUGCUGGAGUACAGAGACCCAAUCAGCAGAUACGCAAGAAGGUUCUUCCACCACCUGCUCAGGUACCAGAGAUUUGAAAAAGCAUUUCUGCUGGCUGUUGACAUAGGUGCUCGGGACCUGUUUAUGGACAUCCAUUACCUUGCACUAGAUAAGGGUGAAUUGGCACUAGCUGAAGUGGCAAAGAAAAAGGCUAAUGAAAUUGAUGCAGAAUCAAUAACUACUAGAACUGAAUUCCUGGGGCAGUCAGACGAAGAAGACCCGUCUCGGGAAGCUUUCAUUGACGGAUCUUCAGAGCGCAGAGGCAAGCACAAUCCACCUGCUCCCUGUCUGGCCAUCAGACCACCAGCACAGAGCUGCUCCCACAGAGCUUGCAAUGACUCACACAUCUCUGGCAAUCCCACGUUUGCCUUCAUCAGGCAUCUUGGGAGAGAGAUUGCCCAGUUCAACUUUGCUCCUACUCCCAGGCAGCCUGGUUUGACCAUGUUCACCUGUGCCUGCCCAGACCCACCAGCCGCAGACAGGCAGAGGACACUGAGUGUAAGCCUGGAGCGGACGGCCGCGCCAGCUCCCUGGUGAGGAAACCCUUUUCCAGCAGCCAGGAAGGAAAUCUGAGAGCAGUUCCUUCAGAGCAGGAGACUGGAGACAGCGGAUCUCUCAAAGUCAUACACUUGGGGCUGGUGUGACUGAGCUGCCAAAGCAAAGAAGGGGAAACUUCUUCACCAAGGUAGUGAAGUUCACAGGAAAUCCUUCAGUGAACUUCCAGCCAGCCCUGGAGCCAACCAGUAGCAGAAGAUGAAAAACCAGACUUAGAAAAUAGUCUGCCCUUAGACCUCUGAACUAUUUCUGAGUUAGCACAGACGUGUCCAUGCACACACUGCUCCAUGUGUGCUUAUGGAGGGCAGUUUGGUGACAUUUUCAUUCUGUCAUUCAAAGACAUCAAAAAAGCUAGUAAUUACAGCUCCCCAUUUACCAUACAAAUGCAACACUGAAGAAUUUGGGGGGUGGUUCUUGGAUGAAUCCGUAAACUUCUCAGGAGAAAGUCUGUAAUUCUCUAUGCAUUAUAUAUUUUAACAAUCUUCCCUUGGAAGCAGAUUUGAAUUUCCACUUCAGGCUCUGAAAACCGUCCUGUUGAGAUACCAGCAGAUAACAUCUUCACUCAGGAUACCUCUGUGAAAGAGCAGCCUUUCACAGUCGGCAGCAUUUUUCAAAGAAUGCUCUCAAUUUUCAUAUCUAGAUAUAUCAUCUUAGUUGAAUAACCAUUAUUUUGCCUUGAAAAAAAGAUGCGGAGCCUCUUAAACAUCAUUCCAUUGGAGUCCAGAUUUUAAUCUGCCUCCUCUAACCACGAAGAGAAAAUGCACUGAGAAGGUAACGUAACCUGUUUCAGCCUUCUAGUUUUUCUGUCAGUGAAGAGAAGGGUGAGCAUCGCUGCAGGUCUUUCUUCCCACCAUUUGAUCAGGUGCAGCUUGCACUGAUGCAGAUUUUUGAGUUCUACCGUAGGCAUGCAUGUGGGUUAAGCUGGAGUUUUUGGAUGGCUGCAACCCAAAACUGGCGAGCUUCUUGAAAUCAGCUUUGUAUGACGAACGAAUCUGUACAAUGAAUGGA